UACGGAGGGGGCUAGCGUUGUUCGGAAUUACUGGGCGUAAAGCGCACGUAGGCGGCUUUGUAAGUUAGAGGUGAAAGCCCGGGGCUCAACUCCGGAAUUGCCUUUAAGACUGCAUCGCUAGAAUUGUGGAGAGGUAAGUGGAAUUCCGAGUGUAGAGGUGAAAUUCGUAGAUAUUGGGAAGAACACCGGUGGCGAAGGCGGCUCACUGGACCGGUACUGACGCUGAGGCGCGAAGGCGUGGGGAGCGAACGGG
rnacentral:rRNA from 1 species